AAUAUGUUAAUGAUGAUUCAUAGUUCAGUUGAAAUUCUGUGAUAACAACACACUAUUUUGUCUUUCGCUCCUAACUGAAAGAAUUU